rnacentral:sRNA from 1 species
GGUUGUAUUUUGAGUCUGUAAGUGAAUCAAAAGUGAAUCAAAACGUGAACAUCCAAAACCAUAUUUUGUGCUAUUGUGGAUAACUUAAACC